CCUUGUCUAAAAAAAAUCCCUCAAACAGAAAUCCUUGUGUAAAAAAAGAGAGACCUUCUUCCAUCCCCACGGCAGGCCGCCCCCUCGCCGCCGGCUGCUGCCAGCGUAGUCCGGUGUAUCGCAGCGGUGGUAGCCAGACUACGACCCCAUCAACGCCUCCCUCCUCUCCCCGCCCGCCCCCACUCCCCGCCCUCCCAUCGCGCCCCAACUCUUCCCCCGCCCAGGCAGCCGGAUUCCUCCCUCGCCGCGAUCAACUCCCCUUUGCCCGCGCUCGCCCGGGUCCGUGACCUCCCUGGCAUGAAUCGGCUCUUUUCCUCCACGCGGUACGCGGCCGUCCGGCCCGACGUCCUCACGUCCGGCAUGCUCGCCAUCGGGCUCUGCCAAGCCGGCCGCACUCAGGGCGCUCGAUGGAAUGUCCGGCCCAAAACUCCGUGCAAGAGCGGGAGGAUCCAGGCGGCCGACGGACCCUGCCGUGUCGGGAACGUGAUUGCUGCUUGGCAAUAGCAAUGUGGUUUUGUUCCAUGAGAUGGUGGAUGAAGGACAGUCACCAGAUGCAGUCAUGUGUUUUACUUUUAGCAUGAUAUUGGGAUUCUUUAGCAGGAGGAAUAGGUUACAAGAGGCUUGGUGUACACCUACAAUACUUUCUUGUCUGGUCUGUGCAAAGUAGGAGAUUUCUCAACUGUGGAUGAGUUAUUGGGGAAGAUGAUGGUUGCCUGCAAGGACACGGAUAUUGCAAAGUUGGUAAUAUGACGAGGCAUUGAGGAUUUUCCGUUCUAUGGAUGAAUCCGGAUGUAAUUUUCUGUUGCAUCAAAAAGCUAGUUAACUCGGCGUAUGCAGUAGCAACCACCAACCAUUCAUACUGGAGCAAAGGUCCAAGUAUAGACUGGACAAGAAGCAGAGGCUGCCGGUGCCGCCCUUUUUUCCUGCUAACACUGGAAGUGAGGUACGUCUUAAAAGGAAACCAGACAUCAUCAUUCUCAUCGGCGAGGAUCUUGGAGCAGUUGAAGCAGACACAGCUCAUGAUGGAGAGC